rnacentral:rRNA from 1 species
GACGAACGCUGGCGGCGUGCUUAACACAUGCAAGUCGAACGGAAAGGCCCUGCUUUUGUGGGGUGCUCGAGUGGCGAACGGGUGAGUAACACGUGAGUAACCUGCCCUUGACUUUGGGAUAACUUCAGGAAACUGGGGCUAAUACCGGAUAGGAGCUCCUGCUGCAUGGUGGGGGUUGGAAAGUUUCGGCGGUUGGGGAUGGACUCGCGGCUUAUCAGCUUGUUGGUGGGGUAGUGGCUUACCAAGGCUUUGACGGGUAGCCGGCCUGAGAGGGUGUCCGGCCACAUUGGGACUGAGAUACGGCCCAGACUCCUACGGGAGGCAGCAGUGGGGAAUAUUGCACAAUGGGCGGAAGCCUGAUGCAGCAACGCCGCGUGCGGGAUGACGGCCUUCGGGUUGUAAACCGCUUUCGCCUGUGACGAAGCGUGAGUGACGGUAAUCGGUAAAGAAGCACCGGCUAACUACGUG